GAGUUUGAUCAUGGCUCAGGAUGAACGCUGGCGGCGUGCUUAACACAUGCAAGUCGAACGAACCUUCGGGUUAGUGGCGGACGGGUGAGUAACGCGUGAGAAUCUGCCCUCAGGAGGGGGAUAACAGCUGGAAACGGCUGCUAAUACCCCAUAUGCCGCGAGGUGAAAUGAAUUUCGCCUGAGGAUGAGCUCGCGUCUGAUUAGCUAGUUGGUGUGGGUAAUGGCUCACCAAGGCAUCGAUCAGUAGCUGGUCUGAGAGGAUGAUCAGCCACACUGGGACUGAGACACGGCCCAGACUCCUACGGGAGGCAGCAGUGGGGAAUUUUCCGCAAUGGGCGAAAGCCUGACGGAGCAACGCCGCGUGAGGGAUGAAGGCCUCUGGGCUGUAAACCUCUUUUAUCAAGGAAGAAGAUCUGACGGUACUUGAUGAAUAAGCCACGGCUAAUUCCGUGCCAGCAGCCGCGGUAAUACGGGAGUGGCAAGCGUUAUCCGGAAUUAUUGGGCGUAAAGCGUCCGCAGGCGGCCCUUCAAGUCUGCUGUUAAAAAGUGGAGCUUAACUCCAUCAUGGCAGUGGAAACUGAUGGGCUUGAGUGUGGUAGGGGCAGAGGGAAUUCCCGGUGUAGCGGUGAAAUGCGUAGAUAUCGGGAAGAACACCAGUGGCGAAGGCGCUCUGCUGGGCCAUCACUGACGCUCAUGGACGAAAGCCAGGGGAGCGAAAGGGAUUAGAUACCCCUGUAGUCCUGGCCGUAAACGAUGUACACUAGGUGUCGGGGGAAUCGACCCCCUCGGUGUCGUAGCCAACGCGUUAAGUGUUCCGCCUGGGGAGUACGCACGCAAGUGUGAAACUCAAAGGAAUUGACGGGGGCCCGCACAAGCGGUGGAGUAUGUGGUUUAAUUCGAUGCAACGCGAAGAACCUUACCAGGGUUUGACAUCCUGCGAAUCUCUUGGAAACGAGAGAGUGCCUUCGGGAGCGCAGUGACAGGUGGUGCAUGGCUGUCGUCAGCUCGUGUCGUGAGAUGUUGGGUUAAGUCCCGCAACGAGCGCAACCCACGUCUUUAGUUGCCAGCAUUUAGUUGGGCACUCUAGAGAGACCGCCGGUGAUAAACCGGAGGAAGGUGUGGAUGACGUCAAGUCAUCAUGCCCCUUACAUCCUGGGCUACACACGUACUACAAUGCUACGGACAAAGGGCAGCAAGUUCGCGAGGACAAGCAAAUCCCAUAAACCGUGGCUCAGUUCAGAUCGUAGGCUGCAACUCGCCUACGUGAAGGAGGAAUCGCUAGUAAUCGCAGGUCAGCAUACUGCGGUGAAUACGUUCCCGGGCCUUGUACACACCGCCCGUCACACCAUGGAAGUUGGCCACGUCCGAAGCCAUUACUCCAACCCUUGUGGAGGAGGACGUCGAAGGUGGGGCUGAUGACUGGGGUGAAGUCGUAACAAGGUAACC
rnacentral:rRNA from 1 species